UACGAAGGGGGCUAGCGUUGCUCGGAAUCACUGGGCGUAAAGCGCACGUAGGCGGCUUUCUAAGUCAGGGGUGAAAUCCUGGAGCUCAACUCCAGAACUGCCUUUGAUACUGGAGAGCUAGAGUCCGGAAGAGGUGAGUGGAACUGCGAGUGUAGAGGUGAAAUUCGUAGAUAUUCGCAAGAACACCAGUGGCGAAGGCGGCUUACUGGUCCGGUACUGACGCUGAGGUGCGAAGGCGUGGGGAGCAAACAGG
rnacentral:rRNA from 1 species